ensembl:lncRNA
UUCUGGAAAAUGCAUGAAAAAAAUUAGAAAAAAGGCAUGACAUCCAUGCAGACCUGGGUCCUCAGUGGAUCUAGUCCUCCUUAACAGCACUGUCAAGAAAACUGGCAGCCUGGGAGAAACAGAAGAUGAAUAAACAAUACAGGAAAACUGAGGUUCACCCUCAAGGUAAAAAGCUGAAUCUCUACUUCACAAAAGGACUUACAAAGGAUUAUUUAAUAAUAAUAAUGCUGGGGGGGUGAAUAAAAUUAAAUUUUAAAUCACAAACUUGUGACUAUAAAACUGGACUUUUAAAAGAGGUCAGCUGAUAUAUUUAAAAUGGAUAACCAACAAGGUCCUACUGUAGAGCACAGAACUCUGCUCAACGUUAUGCAGCAGCCUGGAUGGGAGGGAAGUCUGGGGGAGAAUGGAUACACAAAUACGUACGUCUGUGCUUUUGAACUGUGGUGCUGGAGAAGACUCUUGACAGUCCCCUGGACAGCAAGGAAAUCAAACCAGUCAAUCCUAAAGGAAAUCAACCCUGCAUAUUCAAUUAGAAGGACUGAUGCUAAAGCACCAAUACUUAGGCCACCUGAUGCAAAGAGCCGACUCACUGGAAAAGACCCUGAUGCUGGGAAAGACUGAGGGCAAGAGGAGAAGGGGGCAACAGAGGAUGAGAUGGGUGGAUGGCAUCACCAAUUCAAUGAACAUGAAUUUGAGCAAACCCUGAGAGACAGUGAAGGACAGAGGCGCCUGCCAUGCUGCAAUCCAUGGGGUCACAAAGAGUCAGACAUGACUUUACAACAGAACAAAAGCAACAUAUCUAGGGCUGAUCCCUCUGCUGUCCACCGGAACUAUCACAACACUGUUGUAACAUCAUGUAUAAAUAUUACUGGAGUAUAAUCAGAUAUACUCCAAUACAAAGAGUUUUUCAAAAGACCAACAAUAUUAAAAAAAAAAAAAAGAAAUCAGCUGUGGUAUGACUCUUUCAAUACAGGUUUUUUCUGUAUGCAAACGACUCAUAGCUAGCUUUCUCUUUAAAAUUAAUAUAUUCCCUAACACUCUUAACCUGUAUUUUAAUUUAUAAAGUUUCCAAAACAAAUCUACUUAAAGCAUCACGAAUGAAACACAACGUGACUUUUACUCCUCUCGGUGGAAAAGCACAGAUUCUCCUAACAAAGUCUCUGAGCUGCCCCGCCACUGUCCUCAGCUCCAAAACAGACGUGCACAAGACGUGAACAGAUUCCAGACGCGGCCUUCAAGCCUGGACCACACCUGCUUCCAAGGCCCCAAAGCUAAAAAUAACCCUGGGGCCUCAAGAACGGGACACUGGCCAGGCCGGGGGGAGCUGCCGGCCCCCGGCUCAGCUCCACCGACAGUGAAAGCCGGAGCUGCAAAGCUGGACAAUCACAAGACCCUCCAUCACAGGCUCCUGUCUGUCUCUCCGUGCCAACCAUCUCCAUUCUAGGCCAGCUCAGUCUCUUUUCCCCUGGAUGCCAAAACUAACCCUAGGAGCUCAGAAACAAGUGGGCUUUAGGGUGCACUGAUUUUUUUUUUUAUUAUUAAAACAAACAAACAAACCUGUGGACCAGAACUCAGGAUACCUUGUUCCUAAUUUCAGCUCCUUUACAUAGAUGCAAAAAUGUCAUAACAAGAGACAUAUCCUCCAAAAAAAGAGGGAGAGAGAGAGAUCCUCCACCACAUUGUUUCCUCAUCUGUGAUCAUGUAACACCGAAGGAUUAUUUCACUAAGAACAUGAUAAGAUCGAGGAUUCCCAAGUGGCUCAGUGAUAAAGAAUCUGCUGCCAAAGCAGGAGAUGUGGGUUCAAUCCCUGGGUCAGGAAGAUCCCCUGGAGAAGAGAAUGGCAACCUGCUCCAGUAUUCUUGCCUGAGAAAUUCCAUAGACAGAGGAGCCUGGUGGGCUAUAUAGUCCAUGGGGUGGCAGAGUUCGACGCAACUGAGCAACAAAAUGAUGAGCUCACCAUCAGUGCAUCUCAGGCCUUAAGUAAGCAGCCCUGACAAGGACACAGCAUAAGGGUUGAUGUGAUCCCUAAGCAGUCGUGUUGAGGAGCUACUUUACAUCCCACAACACAGAAGUUACAACGGGGAACCCCUGGACAAUGGUUCCACAAACAGCAUGGUGAGCAGAGAAUUUCCUCUGUGGUGGGGGAUUUCCAGGGUUGGUUCCGAGACAAUGACUCCCGCUUCUCUGCCAACCCCGGAGUGUGCAAGAUUCCCCUCUGGGGCAGUUAGGCUACCAGGUAAGGAAGAAUGAGAGGGAAGGAGGCUGGGGAAGGGGCAGCAGCAUCCCGCCAGGCUCCUGGGCUAAUCUGAGUCACUGAAUCUGUCUUCUUGCUUCCUCUCCUGAGGCCGGGGGAGUAACAGUAUUAGGAAGCUGCUUGUGCUCAGUUCCUCAGUCAAGUCCAACUCUUUGCGCCCAUGGACUGUAGCCUGCCAGACUCCUCUGCGCAUUGGAUUUCCCAAGCAAGAACACUGGAGUGGGUUGUCAUUUCCUCCUCUAGGGGAUCUUCCCGACCCAGGGAUUGAGCUCGUGUCUCCUGCACUGCAGGACAAAGAGGGUGACAGGGCCAGGACCUGGGCUGAAGAAUCACAGCCCAGAAGGAGACCGCAGAGCAGCCCAGAUGCUCCCCAGAUGGGAGUCAGACUGAGCCUAUCCUCAUCCCAUAGUUCCUUUCUCCACUUCGUCCUUUCCUCCUUCUAGCUCUUCCCUAUUAUUCGACUCUUACAUCAUCACCUCACAGCAUCAUCUGUGCCCUUACAUGUUCUCAGAAGCCUUGACGUUUCCCUCUCUCCCUCUCUUCUUCUUAGUCACCUUCCUUUCUCUCUUCCUGAUUAAAACGAAGCCUCUUCCUUUCUAAAGUUUACCCAUUAUCAUUAAUCCAUUUUCUUUUUUCAGGAGGAUCUGCCAAGGCCGUGUGUGUGUGUUGCUGUUAUAAUGAGUAAACCUAAGUGCUUAAGACUGCUUCGAGGUAGUCAUCCGUGGACUCGGGUGUCUGGUCAACCUUUAAAAUCUUUUGAUUAUUUACUACUGUAAAACAGUUUUAUUUUGGAGGAGAGAGGGAAAACAUUUCCAGUGUGGUAUUUCAUACGUGGUCAUCCUGAGUAGAGAUGAUUACUCUGGGAUCUUACAUUUUCAUUAGCCCUUAAAUGCCCUUAUGAUUUAGACUGUUGUUGCUGUUCAGUUAGUAAGUCGUGUCUGACUCUGCAACCCCAUGGACUGUAGCCCACCAGGCUUCUCUGUCCAUGAGAUUCUCCAGGCAAGAAUACUGGCGUGAGUUGCCACUUCCUUCUCCAGGGGAUCUUCCUGAUCUAGGGAUCCUGAAUCUUUACCACUGAGCCACCAGGGAAGCCAUUCUAUAUAUUAGCUAAGUGAAAAUUAUUUUGUAGGCAUCAUUAACCAAAAUAAUUAACAGAAUCAUGGGAUAUAUCCAACAGCAACUUAUUAGUAUGAAAAAAUGAAAGAGAUUUUCAAAAUGUAAUUACCUAUCUCUAUGACAACUGUGUUUCAAGGCAAAUGGCAUUCAAAUGUAUUGCAGACAAAGCAACCUAAGUAUAUAUGUUAUAGUACAGGGCCAUGCUCCUUUUCCAAAUGACCUUCAGUAUCAAAGACCGCAUGUGCAAAACUAAAAUUAAAAGCAAAAUGAUUACAAAUGCAGUAGACUUGCCACAAGUGAUUUUAAUAUAAAGCAGACUACAGGAUUCUCUAUUAAGUAGUUCAAUGACUUAAAAACCAAAAUAUCCAAUUUCAUCAUCUCCUCUGAAAUGCAGUCCAUGGCAUAUAUCCUAAGGAUAAUGUUCAUAAAGCUCUACUGUUUUAUCCCAUUGUCCAGAUUCCUAAAUGAGUUUAGAGAAACCUAUCACAACUGCUAUUAACACCUGUAAGCAUCACAGAGGACUAAGAACAGUGCAGUUAAUGUUCAUUUUUUUCUCCUGCAAAAAGUGCUUGUUUCAAAUUCUAGGAUUGAGGACUGAUCUGUAAAACUAUCGGAAGAAAAAUUAAAUGGGUUAGUGGAAUAGAUGUGUUCAUUUGUUGACCGCCUACCAUAUUCAAUUUCCUAACAGAGUAACUGCUCACUGCUCAGUUUUAUCACAAGAAUUACUUAGGAGCUUGAUUUAAAAAAAAAAAAAAAAGAUAAAAAUAAUCACUCAGACCCCACCCCUGAAGCUGAUUCUCAAGAGUCUGGAAUGGAGACUGGGAAUUUGCAUUUUUGACAAAUGCCCCAGAAGGUUCUUAGGAUUGUUUUAAAAUACAUUAUUAAGUUUGAAAAACAUUGUUCUCAAGACACAUUCGUGUCUCUCAAUGUUCACAUUCAAUGAGCUGUCAAGCCCUACUGAGUGCCGAAAAACUGAUGCUUUUGAACUGUGGUGUUGGAGAAGACUCUUGAGAGUCCCUUGGACUGCAAGGAGAUCCAACCAGUCCAUCCUAAAGGAAAUCAGUCCUGAAUAUUCAUUGGAAGGACUGAUGCUGAAGCUGAACUCCAAUACUUUGGCCACCUGAUGCAAAGAACUGACUCAUUGGAAAAGACCCUGAUGCUGGAAAAGACUGAAGGCAGGAGGAGAAGGGGACAACAGAGGAUAAGAUGGCAUCACUGACUCUCGAUGGACAUGAGUUUGAACAAGCUCUGGGAGUUGGUGAUGGACAGGGAAGCCUGGGAUGUUGCAGCCCGUGGGGUCACCAAGAGUUGGACAAGACUGAGUGAACUGAUUUUCAGUCUCUCUCACUUGGAUGGUGGAGAGGGCAAUGGCAACCCAGUCCAGUGUUCUUGCCUGGAGAAUCCCAGGGACGGCAGAGCCUGGUGGGCUGCCAUCUAUGAGGUCGCACAGAGUCGGACAUGACUGAAGUGACUUAGCAGCAGCAGCAGCAGCACCUGUAUGGCAUAAAGGUGUGAAAGCUGUGUUCAAAGUGCACAUAAUGGCAACAGUAGCAGCUGAUAAAGGAGGAACAAGCAGUCAGCCAGACCAUUCCACUCUCACAGGUGAAGCAGGACCUCCAUUUAAUCUGACGUGGGACUUCCGUUAGGUUAAUAAUAUCCCUUUUACAAAAUGAGAAGUAUUUUGCCCAAAGUCACACAAUUCAUCAACGGUAGAACUGAAACCUGAGUUUCUAUGACAGAGCCUUCCACAACACUACAGAGCUUACCAAACAUUUUGCAAAUUUUAAUGGGCUCCUUAGGCACAGAAAGCAACAGAUUUCAGAGGUUUCUCUCAUGGCCCAGUGGUUAAGAUUCCACACUCCCAACGGAGGGGUACAUGGGUUUGAUCCCUGGGAGGGGAACUAAAAUCCUGAAUGCCUCAUGGUGCAACCAAAAGAAAGAAGAAAGGGAACAGAUUUCAAAAGAUGAAGAACAACACGCCCCAUUUCAACGCUUGACGUGUGUGGUUGUGAAGAGAAGUGGUCUCACCACAGGGACAGCCUGUCACACAAGCAGCCAUGUACAGAGUGGAGAACAAGACAGUGAGGCAACAAGCCCUCACAGAACACUAGGGAAGAAAGAGGAACCCUGGAAGCGGAAGUCUGUCUGCGUCAUGGAGUCACUGUGAGAACACAGUAUGCAGAAGAACCAUAUUUGUACAUUGGAACAUUCACUAAAAAGCUAGUAACUUAAAACAGGAUCAAUGAGAGGAGUAUUUUGGUUAAUACAGUAAUUUUGAACCUUGGCUGCACAUGAAGUCACCUGUGUGUGUGUGUGCGUGCUCAGUCAUGUACGGCUCUUUGCAACCCCAUGAACUGCAGCCCGCCAGGCUUCUCUGUCCAUGGGAUUCUCCAGGCAAGAAUACUGGAGUGGGUUGCUACUUCCUUCUCCAAGCUACCUGGGCAACUCUUAAUUAUCCCAAAGUACCUCAGACCAAUAAAUGAGAACCUCUAGGGAGAAGGGCGGGGGCAUCAGUAUUUUUUGCACAAACACUUAAAGGUGAAUUCUUGACCUCCUCCUAGGGGUCACAAAAGACAGACCACUUGGAAGGCAGAGUUUAAAAGGGAACAAAGGAGAAACACGGCGCUGCACACAGCGCUGUCACUCGUCUGACCUAUUUCCUGAGGUAUGUGUUUUAUAACAUCUGCUGGAGGCAUGAUGUUCUGGAUAUAUUAUCAGUAAUAGAUCAAGCUGUCAGUGCCACAGAGUCUUGAAUUCCAGUAAUAAUAAAGGAGCACACGUCACUAGGAGUCCCAGCAAAAGGCCCUGAGGGUGUGCUGAGAAACAGAAUCCCACCGUGGCUUAAUCAAACAGCUUAUAGCUGAAGCAACCCAGUUUCCAAUCUUUUCCCGUUUUUUCAGAUGUAGAUAUAUCCAAAAAAGGUUUUAAAAGUUUGGGAGGAGACAAGGUAAAUUCAGUGUUCACCUGCAAAUGAGUGAGCGCAGGUUAAACAUCUCUGCCCAGGAAUUUCCCAUGACUAAGGGCAAGUCACCACUACAAGCGCAGACAGUCUUCUGUAACUCCUCCCUCUAGUCCAAUCCUGAAAAACUUCAUUAAAUACGCUGAUGAUGGACACCAAGAAUUGGGCCUCCAGCCAAACCAUCCAUAUUACAUUAAAUAAAGGAUAUCCCCACCCAUCUCAAGGUUUGCCAGCAGUUUCUUUAAAAAAAAAAAAAAAAGUGGCAUUCAACCAAGAGUCCAGCGUUUUUGUUCAUGAUAUAGCUGAUUAACAAACAAUAGAAGAAACUAGAUGAGGAAGCGCUCACGGACUGUCUCCUUUGAACCUCGGGUCUCCCCAGGGCUCAUUCACAGAACACGUUUUUGAACACCCAGUCUGUGUGAGCCUCUUUGCUCAGGUACCUUGGGAGGACACAAUUAAACGCAAUGCCAUAGAAAGAAAAUUUGUACACGGGUAUUAAUAUCUGCCAGGCUCAGCAGGAUGGGGGUGCUCCAAGAGGAGGAAAUGGGAGGACUUGCAUGGAUGACGUCUAGUGGUCAGCGAGGAGGCAGCGAUGGAUCCCACCAGCACAUAUUUACUCUGGACGCUCUCCUACCCCAGUUCUGAUGAUGCUACACAAGCUGUAUUCACGAACAACCUGUGGCCCCAGGAAGUAUGGGGGAAGCAGGGACGUUACUAGCGAGAAGACCCUUCUACGAAUUCUGGAGGCAACUUCUUUUCAGCUGGUCCCUAAGACUGGCUGCUUCCUGCCGGAAAUAUAAACAAACUCACCUUUAGGAGGCAGACAGGCUGCUGGUUCUCACUGUGGUACUGACCUAGCAGAGACGGAAGCGGGGAGGGAAGAGGCGGUUCAUCUUCCUUCAGACCCCAGGUGCGAAUAGUCCCCUUCCCCAACACAAAUACAAACACAGAGAAGAAUGAACGGGAGGUACCCGCUUUACAACUCUGACAGUUAUCUGACAAGAUUACACUGACUUGACUUCAGUCCAGCAGCAUUCUGUCCACCCGCAAAGUGUAAGCAGGAAGAAUAAAAAAGAGGAAUUUAUUAAAAUUAGUCCAUUUUACUGGAAGGUCCAGUAAGGUAGACUAAAGGCCAUAAGCACUCAGGAGCUGGGCAAUCUAAAUAGUCACAGACAAGAGAAGUUAGCUGUCUAGACCUACGGUCCUCAGGCUUUUCAGUCUAUAGACACUUGAAAAAAACAAACUGCCCAGUCCACGUCCCCUUAGCAAUUGUUCCUCUGACUACAGGCAUCCCUCGGUAAACACAGGGAGUGGUUCCAGGAGCCCCUGUGCAUACCAAAAUCCUAGGAUGCUCAAGUCCCUUAAACAAAAUGAUGCUGUAAAACAGAUACAGUCAGCCCUCCUUAUCGGCAGGUUUUUGAUGUGGAAACUACUCGUAAUCCAUCUUAAACUCUAGAGAAAACAAUGGCCAAGAAAGAUAUAGAGAGUCUACAGUGACAUAUGAAGCCUAGGUCAGAAUUUAGAUAUGAGAGUAUGCACAAUCCUGUACAAGAAUGUUUAUGGCAGCAUAUUUAUAAUGGCCCCACAGUGCUUCAGCUGAUGAAUGUGUAUGUGUUUUAGUCACGCCAUCAUGUCUAACUCCCUGUGACCCCAUGGGCUAGAAUGGAUAUGCAAAAUAUAGUCUAUAUGUCUAUAUCCACACAGUGGAAUAUGACUCGGUCAUUGAAAGGAAUGGAUCUGAUAUCAACUGCAACAUGAAUCGGAGAAGGUGAUGGCACCCCACUCCAGUACUCUUGCCUGGAAAAUCCCGUGGAUGGAGGAGUCUGGAAGGCUGGAGUCCAUGGGGUCACAAAGAGUCAGACACAACUGAGCGACUUCACUUUCACUUUUCACUUUCAUGCAUGGAGAAGGAAAUGGCAACCCACUCCAGUGUUCUUGCCUGGAGAAUCCCAGGGACGGGGGAGCCUGGUGAACUGCCAUCUAUGGGGUCGCACAGAGUCAGACACGGCUGAAUUGAUUUAGCGGCAGCAGCAGCAACAUGGAUACACUUGCAAAACAUUAAGCUAAGAGAAGGGAGCAAGGCACAAAAGGCAGGGAGGAGGGUGAUAGCGAGUGACUGCUAAUAUGGGAAGGGAUUAUUUGAGGAUGAUAAAAACAUUCUAGGGUUAGAUAGUGGUGAUGGUCACACAGUUCUGUCAAUAUACUAAAACACUGAUUUGUAUACUUGAAAAGUAUAAAUUUUGUAGUUGUGAGCUUUAUCUCAAAUUCUUUGGAAAUGUAAAUUUUAUGGCAUGUGAAUUAUAUCCCAAUAAAGUUAUUUUUUUUUAAAGACAAAGAAAGGCCAAGGGACUAUACCAAAUAAAAGGAAACUAAAAAGAUAAGUGACAAGUAAAUAUAGCAUCUGAUGCUCAACUGCAUCCUGUACUAGAGGGAGACCGUGCUAUGAAAACCUUGCUGGGUUGAUGGACACAACGGGAACAGAAAUGGACUGAACAGAGGCAUGAAGUCCACGCUAGUUUACUGGGCUUGACAGCUCUACUGGGGGUAGAAGAAUGUCCUUGUUCUUUGGAGACCCAGGGACGUGCUUGGGGACAGAGGGCCAAGAUGUGUGCAAGUUGUUUGCAAAUGGAAAAAUGUAUCAUGUAUAUAUGUAAAGAGAAACAGCAAGUGAUAAAACAGAGAGAGCAAACUGUUACCAGUAGAUGAUGAUCUUUUAAGUGUAAAAUUAUUUCCAAACAAAAAGUUUAAAAUAAUUUAGGCAGCACUAGUGGUGAAAAACCCACCUGCCAAUGCAGGAGACACAAGAGACUCGGGUUCAAUCCCUGGGUUGGGAAGAUCCCCUAGAGGAGGGCAUGGCAGCCCACUCCAGCAUUCUUGCCUGGAGAAUCCAAGGACAGAUGAGCCUGGCGGGCUGCAGUCCACAGGGUUGCCAAGAGUUGGACAUGACUGAAGCAACUGAGAAUGCACGCAUACAUACUGUAAGAUCCAAAACUUCUACUUUCAAUAAAUUAUCCAAGAUAAAUAUACUUGCUCAAGUACAUUUUAUGUGAAAUAUUGUUCAUUGAAAUGUGUCUGUGAUUAUAAAAAGUCAGAAACAACCUCAAUGUCAAUGAGUGAUAGACAGGCUAAAUAUAUUAUAUUUCACAGGGCUCUAAAAAAGAAAAAUGUCUAUCUAUAGGCACUGAUACAGAACAGUUUCCAACAGUGUAUUCUUUUCUGAAGAGAAAAAAAACCAGGGAUACAGGAAGAAUAGAUUUAUCCCUACCAAUAAAAGCAACAAAAAAAAAGCUCAAGAAGCCUAGGAAUGUCUUGAUAUAGUUAGGAAAGAAUUUAAGCCUGUUCUCUAUAUUUAUUUAUGGAGCUCUCUUUAUUUAUUUGUAUCUGUAGAUACACAUAAUUUUCUAUCUUACAACACUGAUAAUAUGAACUUUACAAUGCAAAAAAAAUCUAAUACAAUCUUGGAUGCCAUUCACUCCUACGGUUAACUCAAAAUAUUUCUUUUCAUAAACUUUUUAAGUUCAAAUAUAACAUAUUUUCAUAAAGCAUAAAAAUCAUGAAUGUACAAAGAACUUUUAAAAAGUUAGCAUACUCUUGGAACUACCAUCCUGAUCAAGUAGAAAACUCUAGAAGUUGGCCUCAUAUCCCAUCCAAUCAACUAAUCUCCCAUCCUAAAGGUAACCACUAUCCUGACCCCUAUCAAUACAUUAGUUUUGCUCGUUUUUGAACUCUUUUGUGUCUGAACUCUUUUCUUCAACAUUGUAUUUGAGCCCUUGGUGUUGUCAAUAGCAAUAGCUUUUCCUAUUUUAUGUUAUUUCAUUGAGUAUACAACAAUGUAUUUCUCCAUUCUUAUACUGAUGGACUAUUUGGGUCAUUUCCAGUUUGGAGUAAUUAUGAAUUACGCUAUGAACAUCCUUGUACAUGGCUUUUGGUGAACAUAAGCACAUGUUUGUUGGGUAUACAACUAGGACUGGAUUUGUUGGGUCAGAGGCACAGUGCAAGUUUCAGCUGUAACACAGUACCACCAAUUUUCAAAACAGUUGUACUAAUUCAUGAUUCCCGCCAUCAGUGUUUGAGAGUUCUUGUUCUAUAUCCUUGCUGACACUUGAUAUUUUCAAGCUUUUUGUUGCUAUGUUUGUUUUAUUUUAUUUAUUUUUAAUUGAAGGAUAAUUGCUUUACAAUACUGUGCUGGUUAUUUGUUUUUAAAUUUUAGCUAUUUUGGUCACUGUGUAGUGGUAACUAUAGUUUUAUUCAGCAUUCUUUGGUGACUAUCGUGUUGAGCACCUUGAGAACCUUUUUAUUUGACCUCCUGUAUUUAGAUCUACAAUUCAGUUGGAGUUUUUCUGUGUGUAUGAUAUGAGGUAGGGGUUAAAAUCGGUUGUUUUUAAUAUGGAUAAACAGUUUAGGAUCAUUUACUGAAAAGAUUUUUCUCUCAUAUACAUUUAUGAUGCUGUAUAAUGUCAUCUUAAUCAUAAAUUGUGUCUAUGUGCAUGUACAUGUAUACACACAUACACACACACAUUACUUACAAGGGCUUCCCUGGUGGCUCAGACGGUAAAGAAUGUGCCUGCAAUGCAAGAGACCCAGAGUUCGAUCCCUGGGUUGGGAAGAUCCCCUGGAGGAGGAAAAGGCAACCCACUCCAGUAUUCUUGCCUAGAGAAUUCCAUGUAUAGAGGAACCUGGUGGGCUAUAGUCCAUUGGGUUGCAAAGAGUUGCGCAACUAUCACUUUCAGUUUCACAAAUGCACACAAAUACUUUUAUAUACAUGUGUAAAAAAAAAAAAAACAAAACACGUGGAUCUGCUUCUGGUUUCUCCUCUAUUCCAUUGAUCCAUUUGUUUAUUCUACACUGCAUAGUGAAGUGAAGUCGCUCAGUCGUGUCCGACUCUUUGCGACCCCAUGCACUGUAGCUACUACCACGCUCCUCCGUCCAUGGGAUUUUCCAGGCAAGAGUACUGGAGUGGGUUGCCAUUUCCUUCUCCAGAGCAUCUUCCUGACCCAGAGAUCGAACCCAGGUCUCCCGCACUGUAGGCAGACGCUUUACCGUCUGAGCCACUAUCCAACAGUAUAAAUUCAGCAGUUUUGUUUAUCAUCAACAUUACUACUUUGACUGUUCCUGACAUUUGUGUUUCCAUAUAAAUUUUAGAAUCAGCUUAUAUAAUGAUUUAGACAUCUUUCAUUAGAUUUAGUGCUAGGUUUUGAUAUUUUUUUGCUCUUACUAUACAUGUCAUCUUUCUUAAAAUUUCAUUUUCUGGUUACUACUGUUACACAGAAAUACAGAUUUCAUAGAUUGACCUAGUAUCUAAACUUACUUUUUUAAAAAUAUUACUUUUAAUUUAUAAAAAGCAAAAUUCAUGGUUUUUUGGUAUAUAGUUCUGUGAGUUUUUGACCAGUUGUAUAAUGUAACCCUCACCACAACCAAGACACAAUGCUUUCAUUUGCCCAGAUAAGCUCCUCAUGCCACUCCUUUGUAAUCAGCACCUUCUCCCCACCCUAAACCCUGGCCACAACUGACUUGUUCUCCAAUGCCUAUAGCUUUCCUUCCUAGAAUAUGACUUAAAUUGAAUCAUAUAGCUUAUUACCUUUUGACGGUGGCUUCUCUUACUCAACAUGCUGCCUAUAAAAUUUAUGCCUGUUGUUGCAUUUAUCAACAGUUUGUUUGCAGGAAUAUACCACCAAGUAUAUAUUCAUUCACUAGUUGUAGGAUAUCUGGGUUCUUUCUAGUUUGGGGUGAUUAUUCCUAAAGCUGUAUAAACAUUUGUGUACAGGUUUUUGUGUGAACCUAAGUUUUCAUUUUUCUUAAGUAAAUACCUAGAAGAAGGACUGAUGAGUCACAUGGUAAGUGUGUGCUUAUCUUUAUGAGAAACUACUCAACUGCUUUCUGCAAUAGCGGACCAUUUGUGGUGGAGGUGGUUUAGCCACCAAGUCCUGUCCAACUCUUACGACCCCACAGCCCACCAGGCUCCUCUGUCCAUGGGAUUUUCCAGGCAAAAAUACUGAUUUGGGUAGCUAUUUCCUUCUCCCAGGCAAUUUUCCCCACCCAGGGACUGAACCCAGAACUCCCACAUUUCAGGCAGAUUCUUUACCCUACUGAGCCACCAGAGAAGCCUACCAUUUUGUACCCCCACCAGCAACAUAGGAAAGUUCCAUUCACUCUGCAUCCUCAACAGAAUUUGGCUCAUGUUUAGGAAGUCCCUAUUCUUGUUUGUUAAGAGUUCUUUUAUGAUGAAAUGGGUUUUAACAAAUGGUUUGUCUGAAUCGACUAACAUAGUCAUGAUUUUUCUACCUUUUUACAAUUAAUGAGAUGAAUUAUAUUAACUGAUUUAAAGCUAUCAAAACAUUUUUAUACAUAUAUUCCCUAUUAGAAAAGUUUACUUAAUGAUCAAAUCAUUACUCUAAUAAUAGAUUAGAAGUUACAUGGAUAAAUGAAGUCUGAUGAUAGCCUAAAUGCUACCAUCUAGCCAAAACUGUAUGAUCCCUUCAGUCACACUUCCGAAUAAGCCUUUCCCCACCAAAUAAAAGCAGAUCAGAGAAAUGGGAGACCAAAUCACAGUCCUAGAGCCACAUGCAUCACUCUGAUGUUUAGUAUGUGGAUUCUGAAACAUCUAGAAGGAAAAAGAACUUCCGUUACAAAAGAUAAUGAUGAGAACUGACUGCAUAGCACAGGGAACUCAGUGCUCUGUGGUGACCUAUAUGGGAAGGAAAUCCAAAAAAGAGGGGAUAUAUGUAUACCUGUGGCUGACUCACUUCAGUGCACAGCAGAAACUAACAACACUGUAAAGCAACUACGCUCCAAAAAAAAAACAACAAAAAAAACAGAUUUACCAUCAAAUGCUUUUUUAAAUAAAUGAUAUUGAUGUGGUAGUAACAUUUUAUACUUUAAGAAACCAGAAAUCAAAGUAUAUAGAAAUAAGUUACAUGUCCCAUGCAACAGAAAUAAAUGGAUGAAUAAUGAAAACAUGUGAUAGUUUUAUAUAUUAUAAAAUUCAUGAAAUGCUACUAUGUGGAGGGAAAGCCUUACACCCUUUUGAAAAUGAAUAUGUUAAUGGAUUCUGGCCUACUAAUUAAAAACCACGUUAGUUUUGUCUUUUCACUUUACCUAUUUUCUGGUGGUUAUGUUUUUUCAUAAUUAAAUGACAUGAUCAGAGGGAUGGUGAUGACAAGCCCCUCAGGGCCUCGAUAAACUUUUGCCAUGAAAUCAUCAUAAUGUUACAAAAUGCAUUUUCAACCCUUGAGCGGACUGUAUAAUCGGGAUUAAGACUAACACCAGCAUACUUCCCUGAUGGUCCAGUGGCUAACCUCUGUGCUCCCAGUGCAGUCUAGGUUUGAUCCCUGCUCAGGGAACUGGAUCCCACAUGUCUCAACUAAGAGCUUGAAUGCCGCAACUAAAGAUGCCACGUGCCACAAAUAAGGGCUUCCCAGAUGGUACUGGUGUUAAAGAACCCUGCCAAUGCAGCAGACAUAAAAGAUAUGAGUUUAAUCCCUGAGCCGGGAAGAUCCCCUGGAGGAGGGCAUGGCAACCCACUCCAGUAUUCUUGCCUGGAGAAUCUCAUGGACAGAGGAGCCUGGUGGGCUACAGUCCAUAGGGGGGAGAGUUGGAUACAACUGAAGCAACUUAGCACGCACGCCACAACUAAAACCUGAUGCAGCCAAAUAAAUAAAUAAUAAACAUUAAAAAAAAGAAGAAGAAGGACACUGGGUGGCUCAGAACAUUUCUGUAGCUUCUCACAACAUAGCUCUCUGAAGCUGCCUCAGUCCCUGCGUUACCUCGCCCGCUCACACACCUUUAUUUAGUAUUUUGGGCAAAAGAAGGGGCUGGUAAUAUUCCACCAAGACCUGACAACAAGCCAGAAGGCAAAGGCGAUGCCACAGGUGUUCGAGGACAAAGACACUGCUGGGCUAGAUAUCCUGGGUUCUACUACGAGCACUAUCAGCACCUCACUCUUCCCGAGUCACCACGCUUGUUCCUCACCCAUUCCUGUGUGGUUUACUGAACUCUGCCCGUUUGCCUUAUCACCUCAUAGGCUACUGCUGCCAUUAGCAUUUUAAGUCACAGUGUCUUGUGGCAAUAACAUAACUCCAUAUAUUAAUAACUAAGAUCAGCUCCCUGAAGACUGGAUAUCUAUCAGACAGUAUCUAUUAGAUACAGAAUAUUUUUAAAAUACCAAGUACUUGAAAUCUAAAAGUAAUCCUAAGCAAGUCAUAGCAGAGUCUAUGGUAAUCUUCAACAUCAACCACCACAAUCAACAUUGCCUUUUUUUUUUUUUUUAAACUAUUACCAAAGUAUCACUGUGAAAACCACAGACAAAGAAUAAACAUAUCAGUUGGGUAAUAUUUCUUUAAACCUAGCACUUAACACAGAAAUAUUGUUAGUUUUACCAAAAUGAGAAUUCACCAGAUUUGGACUAGUUCUGCCUGCUCUAUGUGCUCAAAACAACAACAAAUACACUGUCCAAUGAACUUUGGCUUCUAUUUCCUCAUGCCUGUGAACAGGCUUAAAAAACAACAACACUGUAUAUCUCAGGGCAAAGUCCAAGCCUGAGCACCCUGCCGCAUGCCCACAGAAGGACGUGUGCGGCAGCAGGCAAUGAACUGACCUGUAGGCUCAGAAUCUGGGGGUGACACCACUAUAAAGACCCGAAGGAGUGAGAUUAAAAGUUAGCCAAGAUCCAAUGGGCCUUUGGAGGACAGCUGCUUACUAGCCAUCAAAGAUUUCUUAGUCUAGAAGUCAGACGUUAAUGAGGUUCCAAGGAGAUUGGAGAUCUCUCUCUAGAGGUCAGUUGGUAAAAGGCAGUACUCUCAAAACUCAGUAUUUUAGAGCUGGAAGAUACCUCAGUAAUCAUCUUGUCCAUCCCCUAGUUUUACAGGUAAUGAGGAGGAUGAAGAGGAAGAGGAGGAUGAAUCUGAGACCUCAAAUCCUCGUUGGGAGUAAAAGCUCUCAAUUAAACAAGCUGCACUGGGACUUCCCUGGUGGUUCAGUAGCUAAGACUCCUUGCUCCCAAUGCAGAGAGCCGGAGUUCAAUCCCUAAUCAGGAAACUAGAUCCCACAUGCCACGUUCCAUGUGCCACAACUAAUAACUGGUACAGCCAAAAAAAACUAAAUAUUAAAAAAAAAGAACAGACUGCACUAAUAAUGGUUAGAGAUAGGUGAAUCUCUCUGCUGUGACCCCACUCCAUUCACUGCAUUUCUGCACCCUGCACUAAUUACCACCUGGAUCUAUGAGCAGUUCUACUCUGCUAAUUCAUAUUUUAAACAGAAAAUGGCACUUUACAAGUCAACAAUAAAAAAUUAAAUAACUGACCAAAAAAUGGGCAAAGGACUGAGACAUUUCCCCAAAGAUGAUACACAAAUGGUCAACAAGUAGAUGAAAAGAUGCCCAUCAUUACCAAUCAUCUAAGAAAUGCAAAUCAAAACCACAAUGAGCUAUCACCUCACACCUUUAGAAAAGCCAUUAUUUAAAAAAAAACAAACAGAAAAUAAGUGCUGGCAAGGAUGUGGAGAAAGUACCACCUUUGGGUACUGUUAGUAGGAUUAUGAAAUGAUAUAGUGAAAGUCGCUUAGUCAUGUCCAACUCUUUGUGACCCCAUGGAUAUACAGUCCAUGGAAUUCUCCAGACCAGAGUACUGGAGUGGGUAGUCUUUCCCUUCUCCAGGGGAUCUUCCCAACCCAGGGACUGAACCCAGGUCUCCCGCAUUGCAGGCAGAUUCUUUACCAGCUGAGCCACCAGGGAAGCCCAUGAAAUGGUAUAAAUGCUAUAUAGCACAGUAUGGCACUUAUUCAAAAAAUUAAAAAACAGAACUACCAUAUGACCCAGGAACUCCACUUCUGGGUAUUUAUCCAACAGAACUGAAGACAGUCUCCAGGAGAUAUUUGUACACACGUGUUCCCAGCAGACUUAUUCACAAUAGCCAAGAGUAACCCAAAUGUCUAUCAACAGAUGAAUAAACAAAACAUGAUUACACGUACAAUGGUAAUAAGAUUCAGCUUUAAAAAGGAAGGGGAUCCUGUCACAUGCAACAACAUGGAUGGACCCUGAUGACAGCACACUAAGCAAAAUAUGUCAUAAAAAGCUAAACGCUGAUGAUUCCAUUCAUAUGAGGUUAUCCAAGAUAGUCAAAUUCACGGAAACAGAGCACAGAAUGGGGCUCACCGGAGGCUGAGGGAGGGAGAAAGGAGAUUUCAAAUACUCUACUGUGUAGAGUUUCAGAUGCUAAAGAUUUAAGAAGUUCUAAAGAUCUGUUUCACCACAGUGUGUAUACACAAAACAAUAUUGAACUAUACAUCUGAAAAUGGUUACAAUGGUAAAUUUUACAUUGCCUUUACUACAAUUUUUUAAAAAAGAAAACAACAACAAAAAGAAAAUGGCUGUCUUUCUUUUCAAGAGAUCCUGGCAACAAGUAUUGAUAUAAACUCCUUGAUGACGAAGGCCACAGGCUACAUAUAUUUCUUUGCAUCUCUUCUAAUACCUCACUCUCAGAAGUUGCUCACUAAGACUUGUUCAUGCCAAUGACAGAAACAUGCCAACGACCACUGGCAUUUUAAAAGAAUGAAUCUUUUGUCCACCAAAAAAAGCCUACUGGACUCAGAAGUCAAAGUGCUCAUCUCCAUACAUGAACCAAGGUCAUUUGUAUAAUAAAAUACCUCCAAUGACCUCACAAUAAUUUUUACUAAGAACUUGUAUACAACUACUACUUCCUGGUAGUGGAUACCACACUGAUUAACACUUGGUAACUGGAAAUCCACCCCACCAGCAAAUACUGUACUGCCUUAAAUUAAUGUCCUGUUAAUUACAUCCUCUAAUGAGAUGGCCACUGGCAACAUCUAAAGAGCCAGUCACACAGGUCACUUCACUGCCAGAAAAAAUUGCUUGAGUUUGUCUUUCAGUUGGGAUUGCAGUCAAGAGAAGAAGGGGUUUUCCACUGUACGUGAUUUUUAUUGUUGGUUAUAAAGCCAAGAAGCUAUAAAAUCAAGCUUCCUGAAUAUUUACAUUAACGAGGCUCUUAGUCAUCCACAAAAUGAAAAAUGAAAACAAUUGCUUUAAUUACAUAGUUAAAAGGGUUUCAAUGGAAGGAAAGGUUUCUGAUAUUUGGAUAUUCUAAAGUAAUAAAAUUAGAUGCUGUCUGUCCCUAAAGUUGUUUAAAGCAGCUGUUAAAUACAUAUGCAUACACCCAUUUUAUUCUUAAAAAUACAUUCCAAACUGCAAAUGACUUCUGGCCCCUUUAAAUGCCAGAGUUAAUAAUGUUUAUCUUCAGGGUCUCCCAAUACUGAUAAACCACAAUAAACAACAUUGUGAUCCUUCUAUAAGACUUCUGUUGGACAGAAGAUUAAUACAUUUUUAGGUUAACAUUUCAAGAGCCUAUUCUAUAAGCAGUGUUUAAUUGCUUUGCAAGUUUCUAGAGCUGAGAAUGUGAUUUUCAACUCACAGUAUAUUCAAAUUUAUAUAAUCUUGAAGGAAUUCUAUAGGAAGAGCCAGACUGUCACUCUCUCUGAAACACAGUAGAAUCUAUCUCAAGAUGAGACAAAGGUUGUGCCUCAUUCAAGUCAAGUUGCUGCCAUGAAUGAAGGGAAUCGUUCUCCUUUAGUUGUCCUCUAAUUUUAUCUAAGGCAAAUAUGCAGUGCAAACAUGAUUAACAAAUAAGAACAAAUGCCCAACAAGCAAAAGGGGGUAUUCUACCAGGUUUUAACCACUAGUGCUUAAAUUUAGGACAUGGUACUGGGGCUAUGUUGAGUACAGAUUCUGUACAUUAUAUGGAUAUAUCCCCUACUAAAAUAAAAAUGCAAUUAGUUUUCCACCUUUGAUGGAAAUUUGGGGCAUAAGUAAUAUCACAUUACUUAACUGCCCAAAAGCCAAAACCUAAUUUUAGCUUUAACCUUCUAUUCCAUCAAGACUGUUAUUAGACACACCGCCCAGCUAUCGAGAUGACUAUAAAACAUCAUACACUUUUAUAUCUUCUAAUCCUGUCCACUUUUUUGAUUAAAAAAAAAAAGAUAUAAAGGUGAAAUGAUCAAAAGACAGGAACACAAGGAGAGACAAGAAUGUCUGAACCAGAAGACACCUCCAAGAUCAUCGAAUACGAUAUUAUUUCACAGCCCAGGAAGCUAAGACCUAACUAUCUCUAAAUUAGCUCCACAACGAACUGGGAUUCAAGUCUGUGUAGCCUUCCACUAGAAUAAGAAAGAAAAGGGAAUCUGUGAGCAAGAAGGAAACACAUACAGGACAGUCUCUGGACUCCAGGAAAGCUGCUGUAGCAGGCUGCUGCCUACUCUCUGUGCUUUCUUUUCUGCUUAUCUGAGGCAGACACACAGCCAACCAUCCAAGAGACAUCUCCCCUCAGACUUGCUAAGAGUCCCGGUUCCUCCUGGACAGCGAGCAGCGUAUCUAAGCCUAGGAAACGAUACACGACGUGCGUUACACCACCCCCGGUACCCACUCCUGUUGGACAGACACGGACAACAAUUCAAGCAAACGAGACACCACAGAUAAAGGGAGUGGAAGCUUCUAGGAAAGAUUUUGUUCUCCCUCAGGCAAGCACUGGAGUAGGAACUGCUGGCUCUUGUCUACUUCCUCCUUCUUACCUCGGAAAGACAAGUGAUGCCGACAACUGAGGCAGCCAUUUUGUGACGUGAUGUAAGUAAACACGCAAAAGAUGGCUGACCACCUGGCCAAGGGCACUGCGGAGCAGCUGAAUUGCCUGAGAACACCUACCUCUGAAAUUCCCUGAACUUUUCUGAACCACACAGUAAUAAAUGGCUUACGGUUUAAGCCUCUUCUAUGUCUUUCUAUUAACUACCGCUGAAAGCAGUACUGAAUUUAAAAAAAAAACAAAACUUUUUUCUGGGUAGUUCCCUGGUGUUCCAGUGGUUAGGAUGAGCGCUUUCACUGCCAGGGGCCCUGGGUUUGAUUCCCAGUCAGGCAACAAAGAUCCAACAAGCAGCAUGGCACAGCCAAAAUUUAAAAAAAAAAAGAAAUUAUGAAACAAAAUCUUUUGUGCCCUGUUGUAAUUUUCCUGCCACAUCACUCCCAUUAAAAGUGUGUAUUCUGCUCAUAUACAUGCCCCUAAAAAAAGACAGUAUUAUAUUCAUAAUUAACAACACGCAUGCAUACUAAGUCACUUCAGACAUGUCCAACUCCUUGCGACCCUAUGAGUUGCCCGCCAGGCUCUUCUGUCCAUGGGAUUCUCCGGGCAAGAAUACUGGAGUGGGUUGCCAGUGGUCUCUCCAGGGGAUCUUCCUGACCCAGGGAUCGAACUCACAUCUCAUUUUGUCUCCUGCAUUGGCAAAAGGGUUCUUUACCACUAGCACCACCUGAGAAGCCACACAUAAUUAAUAGAGACCAGUUCAAUUACUUUAUAGUUACAGCACAUCUCAACAAUGACCCUAUUAAAAUAAACGUCAUCAGUAGACAAAAUGUAAGGGAAAGAAACAUGACUUUGAAUCAUAUUUUUUCUUGAUUGUGACUUUGAUCCUUCUUUGUGCCAUCUCAAAUCCUUUUUGGAAAUGAGUAUCACAUAAAUAACAAACUAAUGAAUAAGAUCUAUCUGAACUAAACUCUUCUGCUCCUUUAAUCAUAACUGCUGCUUCAGUUGCUUCAGUUGUAUCCAACUCUUUGUGACCCCAUGGACUGUAGCCUGCCAGGCUCCUCUGUCCAUGGGAUUCUCCAGGCAAGAAUACUGGUGUGGGUUGCCAUGCCUUCCUCCAGUGAAUCUUCCCAACCCAGCGAUCAAACCCAGGUCUCCUGCAUCACAGGCAGAUUCUUUACCACUGCUGCUGCUGCUGCUGCUACGUCGCUUCAGUCGUGUCCAACUCUGUGCGACCCCAUAGACAGCAGCCCACCAGGCUCCCCCAUCCCUGGGAUUCUCCAGGCAAGAACACUGGAGUGGAUUGCCAUUUCCUUCUCCAAUGCAUGAAAGUGAAAAGUGAAAGUGAAAUCACUCAGUCGUGUCCGACUCCUCAUGACCCCAUGGACUGCAGCCUAUCAGGCUCCUCCGUCCAUGGGAUUUUCCAGGCAAGAGUACUGGAGUGGGUUACCAUUGCCUUCUCCAUCACUGAGCCACCAGGAAAGCCCUUAAUCAUAACUGUUAGUAAAAAAUUAAAUAAUAAAAUUUCAUUCUUGAAUUUACAGCCCCCAAAGUGGCCGAGUCAAUAUUUUCACAUUCGGAUGCUUAUAACAGAAGCCUGGAGACUUACCAGCACUACACCAAAUUCAUGGCAUUGCUCUUUUCUCCUUUAGAGGUUAUAAUAAUAGACUUUGAAUACUGAUAAGACAUUAAAAGUCAGACUACCCAGUACAGCUAUUUCAAUAGUUAUUUUAACUGUAUUUUGAUAGAACUCUGUCAAAUGUAUGUUUACCUCCAUGACCCCAGUUGCACCCACCUCUGUACUUUCCUAGGUCCCAUUUUUCCGUAUUCACCCCACAAUAUUCCUCUGGCUCCCAACACUCAUCUGCACUCUGCCCACAGCCAGUUCUGUUCUGCCUAUACCAGCUCUGUGAUCACUAACAUCUCCUCCACUCACAGCCUCCCUGGUUGAAAGAAACAGACAACAGCCACAAACAUCUCUUCUCUCAAGUGUGCCACCCUCUCUCCCCUACUGUCAUUCAAGGAAUAAAAUGGCUGAGUACCUUGAGUUUGAGCACAGAUAAAAAUAAGUAUGAAUAUACAGAUUUAUAUGAAUGAUACAUGUGGGCUCAGUGCUUUCAUAACUUAAAAAAAACAACAGAACCAAUGCUCUUUUUUUCUUUUUUUUUUGGUAAGCUAUAAAGCGCUUUUGGGCUCCCCAGGUGGCUGGGUAGUAAAGACUCUGCUGCCAAUGCAGGAGACACGGGAGAUGCUGGUUCGAUCCCUGGGUCGGGUGAUUCCUGGAGGAGAAAAUGGCAACAUAUUCCAGUAUUCUUGCCUGGAGAAUCCCAUGGACAGAGGAGUCCGGCAGGCUACAGUCCAUAAGACUGUAAAGAGUCAGACACAAUUGAGCACACACACAAAAGCACUUUUAUCGACUCCUCCUUUGUGUCUACCCUUUACCCACCACUCUCCGAGGUUACUUAAUCUUCUGCCCUUGUGGUUUCAGGACCACAUGGCUCAUCCCACACAAUAGCAUAUUUCCUUCUUCCCAACAAGUUAAUCAGCUAAGAUGGAAACAUUAUUUUAUUGCUACAGAUUGUCUGUGUUAGACUACUCUAAAAAUAUGUUAGAACAAGGCACCAGUUUAUAUCAGCAAUUUCAAAUUCUCAUGAUUUACCCUGAAACUACGAUACUGAUAUUUCCUCUGAUGGCACAAAAGCAAUGAAGGGCAAAACUGCUGGCACUUUCGCAUCAAUUAUGGCAAGGAUCCAAACUGUACUAGCAGGAAUUACAUUCUUCACUGUCUGUCAAUCACUUUUUUAAAUACUGAUUUUAUAUUAUUUAUUUGGCUGCACCAGGGUCUUAGUUUCGGCAUGCAGGAACGGCAUAUGCAAUCUAGUUCUCUGACCUGGGAUCAAACUUGGGCUCCCUGAAUUGGGAGCACAGAAUCUGAGCCACUGGACCACCAGCAAAGUCCCUAUCAAUCUUUUUUUUUUAAUAAUUUAUUUUUUAUUGAAGGAUAAUUGCUUUACAGAAUUUUGUUGUUUUCUGUCAAACCUCAACAUGAAUCAGCCGUAGGUAUACAUAUAUCCUCUCCUUUUGAACCUCCCUCCCAUCUCCUUCCCCAUCCCAUGCGUCUAGGUUGAUACAGAGCCCCUGUUUGUGUUUUCUUAGCCAUAUGGCAAAUUCCCAUUGGCUAUCCAUUUUACAAAUGGUAAUAUACAUUUCCACGUUACUCUUUCUCCUAUCAGUCAUUUUAAAAAAGCCAGUUUCACUUAACAAUGUCCUUGAUAAAAUAGUAAAAGUUAUUAAUUAUUAAAUCUCACUCUUGAGAACUUGAUCUUUUUAAUAAUCUGUGUGAUGAAAUGGGAGCAUUUCAUCAUAUCUAAUAUGUACAAAAAGCAUUUCUACAUACCUAAUACAAUGGCCAUCUUAAGAAAAAGCAUUUAUGCAAUUGAGUGGUCAGCUGAACUAUACACUUUUCCAUAGAAUACAUUUCUGCUGAAAGAAUGGCUGGGAGACAACUUAUUAUUAUAUAUAGUUAUUCAGACUUAGGUACUUGGCAGACAUUUUCUCUGAAGUAGAUACAGUGAGCCUGAGGCUUCAAGGAAAAAACUGACAAUACCUGUUGCUGAUGAUAAAAUUUGAGUUUUCAAGAAAAAAUUAGAAUUUUGGAAAACUUGAACUGGAUACCAAAAUCUUGACUGCGCCUCAAUUCUAAAGACUUUUUGGAUGAGAUUAAUGGUUGCAUUAAUGAAUGUGAUUUGAUGAAUAUUGUGUAACCGAUGUGUCAAUAUUUGAAAGAUCUGUAGAACUCAAUGAUUAUUUCUUAAAUGACCAAUGUACAAUGUUAUAAAAUCACAAGCUGGUCAAAGAUCCGUCCAAAGUGCAAGAUGGACCAGUAGAUUUUUCUGUUACGGAGUAGCACAAAAAAUUCAUUGACAAUGUUCAGAUUCAACACAACUAACUCUUAAGAACAUCUUUCUAAAAAAAAAAGAGGCAAAGGGAGAAAAAAAAGAAUCUACCAUUUGCUGAGUCUUAGAAUAUUAAAGAAUAUACACAAUUACAUGAAAAAGACACUAAAAUACCCCACCUUUUCUCUACUAUGAAUCUGUAAAUCAACAGGGUUUCUUCAUAUAUUUCAAACAAAGCAACAUAUCACAACAGGCUGAAUGCAAAAGCAGUUAUGAAACUCCAGUGGUCUUCUAUUAAGCAAUGCAUUAGAGAGUGGCAAAACAUAAAACCAUCUCACACUUAUCACUGUAUUUUUGUUUUGGAAUACUUUUUUCAUUAAAAUAUGUUAUUCAUGUUAACCUUUCAUGAGUUUAUCAUUUUUAAGUGAAAAAGUAUUUUAAAACAUUUCAGACUUUUAAUUUCUAAUAUGUUAAAUAUUGAUAUAGUCCACAUAAACAAAAGAUCUUUGGGGCAUCAAUAAUGUAAAAGUGUCCCAACGCCAAAAUGUUAGAAAACCUUAGGUUUUCAACACCACAAAAAAAGUGCUUAUAUGCGUGUGUAUAUAAAAGAAUAGGCACCUGAGAAUGAGUCAGAAGGUCUUUGCUCCAGGUCCACUCGCUUUGGGAUUUGGAUAAAUUAAUCUAAGGUCUUAGUUUCUUCAUCUGUGAAAUGGGUUAUUCAUGUCUUGUUCUGAAGAUAAAAGACAAAAUAUGUCAAAACAGUUGAUACAGUACAGGUAUACUGUUAUUGUUACAAGAUCUCAAAGUUAAGAGUUUUAACCUUGUGACUGUAUUUCUAAAACAUUCUCUAUUCUUAAAUUUUUUUGCUAAAUGCAGAACUCACAGAAAAUGCAAAGUGGAGAUUUUUUGAUUAGUCAAUUAGCUCAAAUGUCUAACCACAUAACUUUACUGAUUUAAAUUUAGUAUUUGACAGUUAUAAUCAGUAAUGUGUAUAUUCUAAUUAUUACAGAUAUUUCCAAAUACACAUAGAAGUACAGAAAAUUGUAACAAACGCCCAUGUACUCUUAAAAAUUACCAAAAAAUUGCUAUUAUUAUUUCAUUUCCUAUGUGUGUGUAUGCCUAUUCUGAUGUUUUUAAAAACAAGUAUUAGGCAUCAUUUCAUUUUGUCUAUAAAUACUCCCAUAUGUAUCUUUUUAACAGAUGAGAAUUUAACAUAACCCCAAUACCAUUAACAUAGAAAUGAACUUUAUAGUUCUUAAAUAUCACCUAAAACAUGCGAUGCUAAAUCGCUUCAGUCAUGUCUGACUCUUUGCGACCCCAUGGACGGUAGCUCACCAGGCUCCUCUGUCCAUGGGGUUCUCCAGGCAAGAAUACUGGAGAGGGUUGCCAUGCCCCCUUCAACAUAAAACAUACUCCAUGUUCUAAUUUCCCGAUUGUCUCCCAAAAAGAGAGUCUUCAUUAGUUUUUAGUUGUUUUGUAGGAUCAAAAUAUUCUCAACAAUUCAGUUACAAGUAAUACAAGAUUUUCAGCUAAAGAUAAGAAGGAAGUAGAAAUAACACAAUGCUCCAUAUACAUGUACGGUUUACAAAAUCAAGUCAAGAACUAUUCUCCAGGGAAAUGUGCUUCUUCUCCAACAAAACAACAGACAAAAAUGACAAGAGACACCCACCACAAAAAAGGCCAAACUGGGGACACCUCAGUACUCUGAGAAGUGACCAGAAGGGGACACACUCAGCUGAUCAGGAAGGGCAGGAACUGUAGGAAGCCACCACCUGCCCCUUCGGAAAAGGUGGGGUCGGGCCAGCCCCGUGGUCAGGCAGGCUGGAGGUUUAAGGUCAGGGCCUGGGUUCCAGAGUGACAGUACCGCUCAAACAGGCCCAGUAACCAAAAGGCUGAAUGGCAACCACCUGCGGGUUUCAACUCAGAGCUCAAAAAUCAGGGCUCCGGGACUUCCCCGGUGAUCCAGUGGUUUUAAUACUCUGUGCUCCCAACACUGGGGGCCGAGGUUUGAUCCAUGGUCAGGGAACUAAGAUCCCCCAUGUCACAUGGCACAUCCAAAAUAAAUUAAUUAAACACAAAAAGAUAAUUGUAAACAAAAAAAAAACACAGUGCUCUAAGCUAGAAAUACAAUGCAAAUAUCAUCAAAAUAAACUACCUGUGACAAUUCAAUUUAUUCAGCAAACAUUUGUCAAAAAAGUCAAUUCUACUAGGCACAUCUUAGGAUAUGAGCUGUAGUAUUUUUGUGUAUAAUUAUUCAGUGAAAUAAUAAGCAACAUAUACGUCUCUACAUAUUACUUUCCCCAUUAAUUUUAAGGGGAAGAAUGGACAAAUUUAAUAUGAAUACCUUGCCACAUACAUGACAAUUUAUAGUGUAAUUUAUAGUGCAAAACCUGCAAUUUGGCCCACUCCUCACCCAGACAUUAAAACAUAGGAAUUCUACUGUCCUUCCCAAAUACUUUUCAAGAUUACACAUCACAUUAGCUUUUAUCAUAUACAUCACAGACUCAGAGCACUUACAUCUACAAUUCUUUUCGAAAUGGAGUAUUUAGUUGAAGAUCGACAUGUACACACUGCUAUAUUUUAAAUGGAUAAUCAACAAGGACCUAGUGUAGAGCACAGGGAACUCUGCUCAGUGUUACGUGGCAGCCUGGAUGGGAGGGGAGUUUGUGGGAGAAUGGAUACAUGUAUAUGUAUGGCGGAGUCCUUUCAGGGUUCACCUGAAACUACCACAACAUUGUUAGUCAGCUAUACUCCAACAUAAAAGAGAAAGUGAAAAAAAAUAAAAAUAAAUGGCGUAUUCAGAAGGAAAUCAAGGAAAGGCUAAAGAAUCUCCCACCUCCUCUGAAAAUCGUUUUCUUUUCCAUAGGCUAAUCCCAAGUGUGUCAGAAUGAAUUGCAGAUGAAAACUGGUCAGAUGCAUAUAGAAAAUUUUAAGAGAUGUGGUUCCAUAGGCACAUAAAUCCUUUUUGGGAUCCUUUACCUCAAUUCCACCUAUAAGGUUUUUUUGUUGUUGUGUUUGUUUGAAGUUUAAAACUACAGAAAAAGUGGAGAAGGAGAGAACACAUUUCUUAAAGAAUGCUUAAAAAGUACUUCAUAAAUGUGUUCCAAAACAUGCAAGAGUCACUAAGGAAUUUUUUAGCUGAUGCUAUAAAGGACAUCUUGUCAAUAACAACAAAACCUGGCAGUCAGACAACUGCAGAGUCCAGACUUCCCCAUUUCAAAACCGACACUUUUGUAUCAGGUCCACUAUCUGCAGAAGUUUAAGAUAAUAUUUCCAGUGAGACCACUAAGGCCCCUACCAACCUGUAAGGAGAAUGAUUAAGUUCACAGAGCGCAACGAACGCAGCCCAAACGUACCAUGCAGACGAGACCUGGAGGGAAUGUCACCCUUGACCUCAUUUUCUGCUAACUACGCUGAAGAGCCGACUUAUGCUUUCUGUCCACCUUCAGUUUUGUGUGCUCUCAUACAAGGUGUCAUCAAAACAAACUGUCCUGGGAGUUUAGCUUCCCUUUAUAGCACUGUUGUGAUUACUGUUCCUAAUGGAGAAUAUAUCUAAGUAUACAGCCCAAAACAUCACAACUCUAAGUAAACUGGAAAGAAUGACAUUAACCUCACUGCAAAAACAUGAGGUUCUUAGCAGACAACAGCAGCAGAAUUGCAUAAAAAUUGUUAACAAGGAGUUGAAAACACAAAGCCUGCAUGCUUCAAUCUACAAAAUAUUAAGUAGGUUUCUUUUUAAAAAUUGGUUAAAGAUGGAGUCAAUGACUGUGUAGAUGUCUAUUCAAAUUGGUUCGGGCUGCAAAUAAAUAUUAAAAAGUUAAAUCAUUAACAUUUCACCAGGCAUAUUACAGGCAAAACAGGUCAUUCACAGAAUAAGUAGGGCUGUAACUAGCACUCUGUAAUUUCCUUGUCUCUGAUCAUUCCUAUUUUCACAAGACAUCACUCUCUGACAUCAGAUUUUCCAUGAAGUGUUUACUUGUUUAUUGCCCUUCUCCCACUAGAAUGUAAAUUCCAUAAGGGCAAAAACCUUAUCUUACUUUCCACUCUUUGCCGGGUUCAGAGAACAGUGCCAAGCACACAGGAGAGGUUCCAAACAGAUCUGCUGAAUGAAGGGAUAGCUGAAUGGCCACCCCCUACCCCUCCCCUUCCUUUACUCCAUACACAGGUUAACCAUCCUUUGAGGUCAGGGUCAAAUUCUACCUCCUCUAUGAAAAAGAUCUCCCAUUCCUCCAAUCUCCUUCUCCUUCAUACCAUGAAUGCCACCCUUGUCUGCUGUCUGAUAACUGUUUAUCUUUGCAUAUGUAUAUAGCUCCCUUAAAAUUCUCAUAAUCCUCAUUAAGGGCAUGGACUCGUGCCCCUAAGUUUCGGUAUCCACCUCGGGACCUAUACACAGUCUACCACUAAUAAAUGUUCUGCUUGACUGACUCAUACCUAUAAUUAAUCCAGAAAUCAAUUGAGUUAAUGGUUUCACCUUUUUAUAACCUAACCCUCCCUUUCCAAUAACUCAACUGUAAUUUCAGUGGAUCCCCUCUAGUUUAAAUUUAUUUUUGGCAACUUCAAGCUUUACAUUCUCAUAUAUGUAAUUAUAACUGCUCAUAAUUCACUUUAUCCAUCCCUCCUCCAAGAUUAAUUUUUGUAUGUAAUUACCAAAAAAAAAAAUCUUGUGACUUUUUUGGUGAUACCUUCAAAUGAAGUAUCUAACCCCAAUCAAGAAAUUGGAGUUUCAUUACUUUCUUCCUGUUGCUGAGGUACUGAAGGGUAUUUUUUCUUUUUAUGCCUUUUUCCUUUCAUGUCAAGAUGGAUCCCAUUUCCUUCUUUCCUGAUCAUAGCCCUGGCAAGCUUUUCUUAUUGCUUUGUACCUGUCCUUGGUAAUCUGCCUUAGAUCCUCCUUUCUGAGCCACUCCUGUUUCCUCUAGUCACUUAUUUGAUCAGAUUUCAAACUUUGCAGUCAGCUUGUUUAUGAGACUGGCCUCUUCUUAAAGCUUGAGCCUGCUUCUUUAAAUCUGGUCAUCCCUUCACAAAGCCAACCAAACCCCGGUUAUCUGGGCUAAAUGAAAUGUACAAAAAUAUCAGAUUAUCCACAACACAAGAAAAUCAGAAAAAAAUUUGACAUCUGGCUUUGGAAUACACCAUGUGGCUUUGGGCAAGAUUUACUUUUUUAAAGUUUUUGCUUAAGCCAUCACUGUUAGUAACAUUUUCUUUUACAAUGGUGGAAUAUCUGUCUCAAUUUUAAAUUCUGAUGCAGUUUUUUCAAAAAGCCAAUCAAAUACCAACUGAGGUUUUUCCUAUGAAGUCUUUAACUCGUUUUUUCAAUCUGUUGAAAACUAUCAUAAAAUCUGGUUUCUGUUUCCUCUGAUUUAUUUCCUCCCUGUUCCUGGGCUUCUGAUCCAAAUCAGCUUAGCCUAUAUUAAUUUACUUCUUUAAUUUAAAGUACCAUUUGCUUAAGAAUGAAAUGCAUUGUAAUAACACAAAAUGUCUAAUGAAGUUUUCAGUCCAAAUAACACUGAAUAGAAGAAUCUUUUUUUUUUUUAAAAGCUACUCCAGGAAAAGUUGGGUUUCUAGGAUAAAUUACACUGGUAAUUCUAGCAAAUUUAUAUUUAGUGGGUUAUUAUGAUUGGCUGAAAAAUAGAAAAACAUUAAACAGCUAUGCAAGUCAGCUUUGUCAAUAUAUAAUCCCAUAGGCCAAAAACUAUGAAAUUAAAUUCUCAAUAUGGGCAUUUAUAGAAAAGAGCAUCAAAACAAACUCAUACAUCAACCUUGCCCCUUUUUCUGACCCCAGCCUAAAUUCUACACAAUCUCACACUUGAUUGCUGCUGCCUCACUUCCACAAAUGAUUUUCUAAUGUUUAAGAAAAAGGAAAAGAACUAGGUUAACAGAUUCUUCUCCUUUUCCCCCUUUUCAGCUUCUGCCAUUGAGCUCUUGGCCAAAGAGAUCCCUAAUCCUCAAUUUUACAUGACUGUUUUCACUUUACAGGUAUUCAAUUAUUUUACAUUCAAACGCACAUUUAUAUAGAGCUUGAACCUACUCUUUUUCAUGCUAAUCAUCAUAUUACCAGCAGAAUUGAGAAUAAACUCAUUUUUGCAGUUGCCCCUCAUAAAGAACUUUGGGAAGUACAAAUUAUUUUACCUAAAAGCCAACUUUGGGGCUGGUGUCUUUUAGGCCAAGUUUUUAUAUAGGAUGUUAAAUGUUAACCCCCCAAAACUUUUUUAAACAAGAUUUCACAGUCAUCAAACUCAGUUAAGUUCCAGAACUUUACUUAAAAUACAAAAACAAACUCAGGAUGCCUAGUCACACUUUGACUAAUAUACCCCAACAAAGCCCCAAAUUCUUAAUUUUUUAAUGUACCUUCUCCAGGCUGCAGCACAAGUCUCAAUUAACCACGGCCUCCCAAGCUGUUUGUCCACCCAUACACAUCAUUUCUCAAGGAAAAAUAAAUAAUUCACAAGUGACUGAUUCAACUGGUAAGAAUUCUUUCCUUCUUUUAAAAAUUUACCUUAAUUUCAAAAAUCUCUUUUCUUGAUGGAGUUCAGAAUAGUAUAAAUCCUCUGAGGAAAACAGUUGUCACCUAUGUGCGCUCAAAAGAUGAGUGGCUUAAAGAGGCAUUUUCUGACAGUCUAAGUUCCCCAAAUACUAGUCAUAAGGUAUUUCAUGGAUGGUAAAUUUCACACACACACACAGGAAAGAAAGGAAAGAAACAUACCUGGUCAUUUUCUAAACAGGUUUGAUAGGUUUGGUUCCCUUGUAAGAGCGGAGUAUUUACUUAUAAUCUUUUAAAGCACAAGUGGCAGCCAGGAGAGUGGGUAAAUAAAACCUUCAGAGAGGUUUAAAAACCCUGCAUCUUAACUCACUUCCCCUUGAUUUCAGGGGCUGGUACUGCAACCCCAUGGUAAAUGAGAUUAUGUAACAGGUUUUUCCUCUCUCCACUUUAUUCAUCACGGUCUGAUUGGAGGUGUGCUUUCUCCAAACGAGUUGAGACUCCUAGGAUUUAUUUAGGACGGCUGAAAUUGAGGUUUGAUACAUUUCCUUAGGAUUUUGCAGGAUCCAUUCAUUUAAAUAUCUGUUUGUAGUUUUCUCAAGUGAGAAAACACAAUAACCGUGUAGUUGCUGUUGUAAUUUCAAGGAAAUAAACGCAGCUGCACCUGAAAACUUCCGUUUUGCACAAAUAUUUUCCUCCCCUGUGUUUCAUUCCAUGAAACUGCACAUGAUAUACACAGACCUUCGCUUGUCUCCCGGGGCUUCUUCCUUUCUCACGUUUUACGGUUGGUGUAAAUAAAGAAAAAGUCCCUGGCGCACAAGGCCCCCCAACACCCGGCCUCGGGGGGGGGGGGGGUGUCCCCGGAGGAAAAGCGAGUGGGUUGAAGAGCGCAGCCCGGUCACCACUCAGGUGGCCCAGACGCUCUCACGGAAGGCGAGCUGGGGAUAAUGGGGACAGUCAGGCCGGGGCCCCUCUUGGCAGGCGAGUUGUGUAACAGUCGCGCCUGGAAGUGAGCAGCUUGGCCCGCGAAGGGACCGCGUCCGGCGGCGGCUCCUGGAGGCGGCAGCCGGCCGCCCGGCCCGCUCGGCCCGAGCCCGCGCACCCGCCGCCGCCGCCCCGACCCCGCGCGGGCCGGGCCGGGCCGGGCCCCCCUCCUCCACACACCCCUCGCGCCUCCGCUUCCCACGCGCUCGCCGCUCGGGGCCGCGAUCGCCCCCACCCCGCCCUCGACCCCGGGCCCGGACGCCCGGAGGGCAGCGCCGGCGGGACGCGCGGACCGGCGUCCAUGCUGCCGGCGCGGCGGGAGCCCUACCUACCCGGCGCCCACCCGCCCCGCCGUCCGCGCGCCCACUUACUUUCGGGGCCGCAGACCUCGCGGCUCCCUCGGGGGGGCGGGGGGAAACGAAAGUUGUCACAGCGUCUCCCCGCGGGGCCCCCUCGCCUCCCGGACCCGCGAGGCGCCGCGGCGGAGCCGGGAGGGCUUGCUGCGCUCCCGCCCGCGUCCGUCCCGUCGCGCUCUCCUCCGCCUCCUCUUCUUUUCACUAUAUUAUCUUCUCCUGCUCGGAGGGGCGGGUGGGGGCGGGAGGCUUAGGAAGCGAGGAGACGUUUGCAACUUUUCUUCACUCUUUCUCUACCCCCCACACCAACCCCCCGAUCAGCCUUGAAAAAACACUGUUGAAAGGGGCGAGGAACCUGGGGAGGUGGAGGGGGGGGGGGGGACGCGAAGGGGGUCGGGAGAGGUGAUGAUAGUCGUUUGGAAAACUGACCAGAGCCCCCCCGCCCCAAACAGAGAUACCCAGAAAGAGGGGGAAAGGCGGGGGGUGGGGUGGGGUGGGGGGUUGGGGGGAAAGAGAAAGAGUCGCUGGUCAGGAAACUUCAAGCGCGGAUGAGGUCAUUGGUUUAAAAAUAAAGAGAUGGCGUCACUUGAAACCAAUCCCAGUGAAUGAACUCAGCGGAGCCCCGGGGAAAGGAGGAGACAGGAGAGGGCAGGGCGGUGGGCGACGGGCGGGGCCGUGCGCCCGCCCGAACCCGGAGCGCGGCUCGGCGCCUGGUCGCGGCCGCUCGGGGAGGGGUCGGGUCACGUUCCGUUCCGGGGCCCGGCGACUCCGGGGCAGGUUCCGCGGGCGCCGCUGGGAGGAGCCGGGUGGCCGGGGGAGGCGGCCCCGCGGCCUCCUCCUUCCGCGCCCUCACGCCGGCUGCCCCCGGGGCCCCGGAUCCCCGACCCUCGGGCCGGGUCUCGGCCGCGUAGGGCUGCGCCCCAACAGGUAUUUCAGGGUUCCUGCCCCAGCGAGGCACAGAGCCUUUUCCUCCUCUUUGGGCUGUUUCCAGCUGCCUCCCCAGGGUGAAGAAACGCAAACAAUGAUUUGAGAGAAUUGCAAUCUUUUAAAAGUGAAAAGUCCAAAAUGCAGGGCACUGCGGGCUCUAGGAGAGAGAAGUUACAGUUACCCAAGAGAGAGUUGGAGAGGAUCUGCAUCUCUAGUCUGCUUGGUUGGAGGAGUUGAGAUUCGAAAGAAGGAAGGAAAAGAGAGAGAAUCCUUGUCCUAGACUAGAUCCUGGAUCUAUUGGAUGAAAAGUUGGAUCCUGCCU